UGUUGAUGAUAAAAAUAAAUGAAGCUUAUGUUGAUGAUAAAGGAAGACCAUUCAAGGACAUAAGAUGGUGCUCCAUAAGCAGCUCCCAUGGGGUAGGCUCCAGCAGGAGGUGGGUGGUCCUGGCCAUGAAGUAAACCUC